rnacentral:rRNA from 1 species
GACGAACGCUGGCGGCGUGCUUAACACAUGCAAGUCGAACGAUGAAGCCGGAGCUUGCUCUGGUGAAUUAGUGGCGAACGGGUGAGUAGCACGUGAGUAACCUGCCCUUGACUCUGGGAUAACUGCUAGAAAUGGUAGCUAAUACCGGAUACGACCCUCGGAGGCAUCUCCAGGGGGUGGAAAGAAUUUCGGUCAAGGAUGGACUCGCGGCCUAUCAGCUAGUUGGUGAGGUAACGGCUCACCAAGGCGACGACGGGUAGCCGGCCUGGGAGGGUGACCGGCCACACUGGGACUGAGACACGGCCCAGACUCCUACGGAAGGCAGCAGUGGGGAAUAUUGCACAAUGGGCGCAAGCCUGAUGCAGCAACGCCGCGUGAGGGAUGACGGCCUUCGGGUUGUAAACCUCUUUUAGUAGGGAAGAAGCGAAAGUGACGGUACCUGCAGAAAAAGCACCGGCUAACUACGUGCCAGCCGCCGCAGUAA